rnacentral:rRNA from 1 species
GACGAACGCUGGCGGCGUGCCUAAUACAUGCAAGUCGAACGCAGUUGCGAACGGGUGAGUAACGCGUAGGUAACUGCCUGGUAGCGGGGGAUAACUAUUGGAAACGAUAGCUAAUACCGCAUACUACCAGAUGGACCUGCAUUGUAUUAGCUAGUUGGUGAGGUAACGGCUCACCAAGGCAACGAUACAUAGCCGACCCUGGAGGGGGAGUGGACACACGGGGACUGAGCAACGGCCCAGACUCCUUAGGGGAGAAGCAGUAGGGAAUCUUCGGGCAUUGGGCGAAAGUUUACCGAGGAAAGGCGCGUGAAUGAAGAAGGUGUUCGGGUCGUAAAGCUCUGUUGGUCAGGAAGCGGUACUUAACCAGAAAGGGACGGCUAACUACGUGCCAGCAGCCGCGGUAAUAC